AAUAAAAACGGGGGAGCUCAUGUUUAUGGGCUGAGAAAGGGCUGAAGAGCACCUGACCCAGAAACCUGAUCGGGGUAAUGCCCGCGUAGGGAAGGUAAUCUGAUCAUUA
rnacentral:ncRNA from 2 species